UCACAAUAACUUACAACCAUCCGAUAUGAAAUCUGAUAGUUUAGGUGUGUUACAAAGUUUGAAAAAAUUUCUUUUAAAGUUUGAGCUUGGUCAAUGAAAUAAAUACAUCCAUCCAAUUUCACAUCCAAAGGUCAAGAUUAAUUGUGACUAUUUUGUAUCAAAGAUAAUUGGUCUCAUUGUAUACUUUUCCUAUUGUAAUAAAUCUGUACUACUUAUUUUAGGUCCCCAUGAAUUUGAUGUCGUAUCUCUCAAGUUGUGUUUACUCAUAGAUGCAUUUUGGGAUGAAGGGCAUUCUUCUCUUCUAUCUUGAUCGCAGUUCCUUGAUGACUUCUUAGGGCUGUUAAUUGGAUGCGCCCUAGUAAACAUCUAUGACUUCUACUCCUCCAUUAUCUCGUAAUCUGAAUUUCAUAUGCAAUAGUUAAAAAUGGUUAUGACGUAUAAAAAUAAAUGGUCUCAUAAUAUAUAAUUCUUAACAAUAUUUGUACUAUCUUUACAAGAAAACAAUAGCUGCCGCGUGGAAGGCACUUGAGAUAAAAAGGAGCUAAUAUGUCAAACAUUUUCUCCAUGAGCACAGAAGAGUGAAUCAUAAUGCAUAUGCAGUAAGUUUUUCUUUUUUGAGAUCCAUAUAGCUAAUUUGCACUAGUGGAAAAUCAAUGCUGACGGAAGUGUUGAGAGUCAUCACGGACUCAUCAUGUUCUGCUCGAGGGAUGGGGCCAAUAUACUUGGAUGCUACAUGGAUACAUAAUAUUUUCAAUUUUUUUGAGCUGAUAACUAUCGUUAAAUAUUUUAUUAGAUAAAUUUUUUGUAUUAUUCAUUAUAAUGUUAUUUUUUUAAUAAAUUUGAGAUACUUUCUCACUCUAAAUAUUUGAGAUAAUUUCUCUUUAAAAUUUUUUAAAUAGUUUGUCUCUUUAAAAUUUGUUGUAGUUUCCGUCUCUAAAAUUUUAAGAUAUUAUCUCUCCGUAAAACUUAAAAUUUGAUAUAGUUUAUCGCUCAAAAAAUUUUGAGAUUGUUUUACUCUUGUCAAAAAAAAAAUUGAGACAAUUUCUCUCUCUGCAAAUUUUCAAGUAGUUUCUCUCUUUAAAAUUUGAUAUAUUUCUCUCUAAAAUUUUAAGAUUCUCUAAAAUUUUUGGGAUAGUUUCUCUCUAUAAAAUGUAGAGAUAGUUUCUCUCUAUAAAAUGUAGAGAUAUUUUAUCUAUAAAAAUUUUGAAAUAUUUUCUCUCUAAAACUUAAAUUUGAGAUAGUUUUUUGCUUUAAAAUUUUUGAUAUAGUUUCUCUCUCUAAAAUUUUUGAGAUAUUUUCUUUCUAAAAAUUUUCAGGUACUUAAUCUCUCUAAAACUUAAAUUUGAGAUAGUUUCUCUCUAAAAUUUUAAGAUACUUUUCUCUCUAAAAACUAAUAUUUGAGAUAGUUUCUCUUUUUAAAAAUUUUAAGAUAGUUUCUCUCUCUAAAAAUUAUUGAUUCUUUCUAAAACUUAAAAUUUGAGAUAAUUUAUUUCUAAAUAUUUUGAGAUAGUUUCUCUCUCAAAAUUUUGAAGUAGUUUCUCUCUCUAAAACUUAAAAUUUAAGAUAAUUUCUCUAGUUUCUCUCUCUAAAUAUUUUCAAGCAUUUUUUUUUUUUAAAUUUAAAAUUUGGAAUAGUUUCUCUCUCAAUAUUUUUGAGAUAGCUCCUCUCUCUAAAAUUUAAAAGUUAAGAUAGUUUAUCUCUCUAGAAAUUUGACAGAGUUUCUCUCCCCAAAUUUUUUUUAAUAUUUUCUCUAUCUAAAACUUAAAAUUUGAGGUAGAUUGUCUCUUUAAAAUUUUUAAGUACUUUCUCUCUCUAAAACUUAAAAUUUGAUAUAGUUUCUCUCGAAUUUUUUUUAAGUAUUUUCUCUUUAUAAAACAUAAAAUUUGAAAUAGUUUCUCUCUCUAAAAUUUUUUAGAUAGGUUUUCUCUCUAAAACUUUUUAGGUCUCCCUAAAAAACUUGACACAGUUUCUCUCUAAAAUUUUAAGAUAUUUUCUCGUUCUAAAACUUAAAAUUUGGAAUAGUCUCUCUAAAAAAUUUGAGAUAGUUUCUCUAUCUAAAAAAUUUGAAAUAAUUUCUCUCUAAAAGUUUUCAAGUCCUUCCUCUAUCUAAAACUUAAAAUUUAAAAUAGUUUCUCUCUCUCUAAAACUUUGUUUUAAUACUUCUCACUCUAAAAUUUGAUAUAGUUUCUUUCUAUAAAAUUUUAAAUUAUUUUCUCUCUAAAAUUUAAAAUGUGAAAUAGUUUCUUUCUAUAAAAACUUUGAGAUAGUUUCUCUCUAUAAAAAUUUUUUAUAGCUUUCCUCUCUAAAAUUAGAAAUACUUUAUCACUCUAAAAUAUUAAGAUACUUUCUCUCUCUAAAAAAUAAAAUUUGAUAUAGUUUUUCUAUCUAAUUUGUGGGGAUAUUUUUGUGGAAUUAAUUGUAUUUUUAUAAAGUGGAUGUCUCCCUAACAGGGAAGUCUGGCUAGAAGUCAAUUUCGGAGGGUAAAGCGAAACAUAUUUCUUUAUUUUUUUGCUUGAAAUAAGGAAAACAAUUACAUAAGGAAAUAUAUUUCAAUCCCACAAUUUCGAUCCAAACACCAGAACUGUACCAUUUCCACUUACAAACAUUUAUAGAAAUGUAUUUCCAAGUAUCCAGAUGACCCCUAAUUGCUUUGUUUUAUUUUAAUAUAAGUUCUUUCUAUAGUUUAAUAUAGUUUUGUCUUUUUGUAGGUCAAAAUCAAAUUAGGAAAUGUGGCUACCCUACACUCUAAGAAACGCAAGGGCAGGGACCUUCCUGUUUGGGACCAUCUUCAAAGAAUAAAACAAUGGAUAUAUAAGGUUAACACCUUGUAUUGUAGAAUUAAGGUGCACUUCAAAAUUCGAUCAAAAAAAGAAAAGAAAAUGAUCUUUUGAUGUUGAAAAACCAUCUAAAGAUGCGGGGAAAGAAAAAAAAAACAAAAUCUUGAAGUCCCAAAAAUUGUACAUCUUACAAUUUAUUAUCUGGAUUGUCCAUUUUUAAGAAUUUCAUGUGUUUAUAGAUCUGUUUGAUUUGAACCAUUUUUGGAGUUUAAAAUUUUAUAAUUAGAGAUAAAAGGAGAUUCUCGGGUAAUUCUAAAAAUUUUUGACAUCCAAAUUGCAUCUCAUGACAAAAUUUGAAGGCGUACCUUACUUUGAUAAUUUAAGAUUACAACUUUAUGCAAAUCACAUACUAAAAUGAUAUACAGUCUACUCUAUUGUUGUAAAACAACACUUCCAACUUCCUCUCUUCCCUCACUCUUAGGGCGUGCUUGACUGCAUUUCCAUAUGGCAGUGGGAGUCUCCCAUUCAUUAUGGAAGACUGCCGUUUCAUCUUUCAAACAUAGGAGUGAAAUGUUCCAUAUGCACUUCCAAAAAAAUUCCUAUUAUCAAACACGCCCUCGUAGUAAAGAGGUGGCCCCUUACCUCUCUUUUUUAUUUGAUGCUGAAGCCUAUAUCUGCAUGCUGGCACCCACAGUGCUUGCACAUUCUUCAACAACCCAACGAAUACUGCUUAGUAGGGCACCAUGCCCCUGGUUCACGCCAGGGGUGCACCAUGCCCCUGGUUCACGCCAGGGGUUAAUGGCCAGGGCACUAUGCCCCUGGUUCACGCCAGGGGUUAAUGGCCCAGGCACCUCAGCCUUGCCUUAAAGGCCCCAACUACCAAAUUUG
rnacentral:lncRNA from 1 species